rfam:Hordeum vulgare subsp. vulgare, WGS project CAJW01000000 data, contig: morex_contig_297180
UAGGUACUCCGUCCGUCCCAAAAAAUUUGUCUUAAAUUUAUCUAGAAAUGGAUGUAUCUAANNNNNAAAAUGUGACUAGAUACAUUCAUAUUUAGAUAAAUUGAAGACAAGAAUUUUAGGACGGAGGGAGUAUAUG